UGGCGCCGAAGUUAGGCUCCCGCUUUUUCCCAUGAUCCCUUUGUUUACUCUCUUUCCUGCUGGCUUACGACCCCUCACACCCCCCACCUAACAUUAGUGGUGCAGCAACAAUGGCGAGCAAUAUCGGAGCGAUCCAACCGUACAGUUUAGAGCCAGACGCCAUCUCAGUACAUGGACCUAGUCGUCGACAAGCAGAUGUUUACCGUAGUAACUUGCACGUCACACAUACAAGCUUUUUUUCAUCUGCUCUUGAUUCACAACGUUUUUAAUGAAGAAACUCUCAGAAAUGCAGUUUCUCAACUUUCUUCCUAUCAUGAGAAAAAUGCUACAAGAACAUGCUAAAAACAUGAUCUUCAUCAGAGUGAGCCUUUAAAGUACGUCCAAAUUAAAAUGUCAUUUUUUCAGUAGAACCCCUUCAGAAUCUCAACAUUUUCAGGAUUUGCUGAGACAUAAUUAUAAAUCGAACACAGACUUUAAAUUUGGUUCAGGUACCUCUGGAACAUCUCCUGACAUUUCUGGAACAUCUCGAUCACAUCAUAGCUUCAUUUCUUUUUCGUUUCAACUACAGUACUUGAAUGCCUGCUGGACAUUGGCUCCACAACUGAAGAAGGUCCUGGUGGAUUUCCUGAACACCUCUGGAACUUCUCAGGUCGACCGUAAACAUUUUAGCUGUUUUUGAGUCAGUUUGGGGGUUCUGUUGAGAUGUGUGGGUCAAUGCCGCAGACUGCAGUUGUUGUGCAGAACUUACAUAUUGAAGAUGAAGACGUUUGAUUCCUGUUGAGGAUCUGUGAGCUGCUGCUUUACCUCCACAAGCAGCUUUCUCUCCCGUACAGCUCUGGCUUUGGUGCGAGACGUCUGUGAAGGAACCUUUCCACUCCGUUAUCCUGUGAUUAUCAAUCAUUAGUAACUGGAAACCAAAACACAAACUUGAUUGUGCUCGGCGCUCUGAAGGAAGAGCACGCUCACAGCAGACGUGCGCUAUUAUGUGGAAUGAUUGUUGUGCGGUCGACAACGGACCGCGGAGGCCGCUCUGGACCCGUCACUGAUCAGGUCGAGCUCGUCUGGGUAUCCGUUUACUCUGAAAUCAUGAGGCAGCUGCGUGUGCAUCCACUCCCAGCACAGCUGCCUUUCAAGUGUGCUCAGAACAUGUUAUCAGCAUUUGAAGACGUCACAUUAAUUUUCCAGAAGCGGUCGCAGAGCCGAGGCUGUGGGUGGUGGACGGCUCUGAUUACACGCCGAAGCUGUCAUCACGCAAAUCAAGAUUUGACCCAAAAGAUCAGCUGAAGGAAGCCAAAUGUAAGCCUGAUAAAAGCCGCCAAACCAAAUGAGUUACGGUCAUUGUCCUCUGUGUCAGUCAAAGGUCAUGGAAACUAUUUGCCACUUUAGAAAUUCUUAUUUUUGGAUGGAAGCGAUAUUCCAUGUAGAUCUUCUGUUUGUGAACCAAAGAGAAAAGCUGCUGCGGUGAAAUUCCCUCCAUUCCUGCCUAGAAUGACACACGCACGUCUGAAAACAAAACCA